UACGUAGGGAGCAAGCGUUGUCCGGAAUCAUUGGGCGUAAAGCGCGCGUAGGUGGCCCUGUAAGUCCGCUGUGAAAGUCAAAGGCUCAACCUUUGAAAGCCGGUGGAUACUGCAGGGCUAGAGUACGGAAGAGGCGAGUGGAAUUCCUGGUGUAGCGGUGGAAUGCGCAGAUAUCAGGAGGAACACCGGUGGCGAAGGCGGGUCUCUGGGCCGAUACUGACGCUGAGGAGCGAAAGCGUGGGGAGCGAACAGG
rnacentral:rRNA from 1 species